UACGUAGGCAGCAAGCGUUGUUCGGAGUUACUGGGCGUAAAGGGUGUGUAGGCGGCCGCUUAAGUUUGGUGUGAAAUCUCCCGGCUCAACUGGGAGGGUGCGCCGAAGACUGAGGGGCUCGAGUGCGGGAGAGGAGAGUGGAAUUCCUGGUGUAGCGGUGAAAUGCGUAGAUAUCAGGAGGAACACCGGUGGUGUAGGCGGCUCUCUGGACCGCGACUGACGCUGAGACACGAAAGCGUGGGUAG
rnacentral:rRNA from 1 species